GAGUUUGAUCAUGGCUCAGAACGAACGCUGGCGGCAGGCUUAACACAUGCAAGUCGAGCGCUGUAGCAAUACAGAGCGGCGCACGGGGUGAGUAACACGUGGGAACAUGCCUUUCGGUUCGGAAUAACUCAGGGAAACUUGUGCUAAUACCGGAUACGCCCUUACGGGGAAAGAUUUAUUGCCGAAAGAGUGGCCCGCGUUGGAUUAGCUAGUUGGCGGGGUAAAAGCCCACCAAGGCGACGAUCCAUAGCUGGUCUGAGAGGACGACCAGCCACACUGGGACUGAGACACGGCCCAGACUCCUACGGGAGGCAGCAGUGGGGAAUCUUGGACAAUGGGGGAAACCCUGAUCCAGCCAUGCCGCGUGAGUGAUGAAGGCCCUAGGGUUGUAAAACUCUUUCGGCGGGGACGAUAAUGACGGUACCCGCAGAAGAAGCUCCGGCUAACUUCGUGCCAGCCGCCGCUGUAAC
rnacentral:rRNA from 1 species